rnacentral:rRNA from 1 species
UACCGGAGGCAGCAGUGGGGAAUUGUUCGCAAUGGGCGCAAGCCUGACGACGCAACGCCGCGUGGAGGAUGAAGAUCUUCGGGUCGUAAACUCCUGUCGAGCGGGACGAACAUCUUCCGGGGGACAAUCCCGGAGGACUGACGGUACCGCUAAAGGAAGCCCCGGCUAACUCCGUGCCAGCAGCCGCGGUAAUACGGGGGGGGCAAGCGUUGUUUGGAAUUACUGGGCGUAAAGGGCUCGUAGGGGGCGCGCUAAGUCAGACGUGAAAUCCCCCGGCUCAACCGGGGAACUGCGUCUGAGACUGGCGGGCUUGAAUCCGGGAGAGGGAUGCAGAAUUCCAGGUGUAGCGGUGAAAUGCGUAGAUAUCUGGAGGAAUACCGGUGGCGAAGGCGGCAUCCCUGGACCGGCAUUGACGCUGAGGAGCGAAAGCCAGGGGAGCAAACGGGAUUAGAUACCCCGGUAGUCCUGGCCCUAAACGAUGAAUACUGGUUGUAACGGGUAUCGAUCCCCUGUUGUGCCGAAGCUAACACAUUAAGCAUUCGUCGUGCCUACUAAG